UACGUAGGGGGCAAGCGUUGUCCGGAUUUAUUGGGCGUAAAGAGCGUGUAGGCGGUUUGGUAGGUCCGCUGUGAAACUCGAGGCUCAACCUCGAGACGCCGGUGGAAACCAUCAGGCUAGAGUCCGGAAGAGGAGAGUGGAAUUCCUGGUGUAGCGGUGAAAUGCGCAGACUAUCAGGAAGAACACCCGUGGCUAAGGCGGCUCUCUAGUACGGUACUGGACGCUGAGACGCGAAAGCGUGGGGAGCGAACAGG
rnacentral:rRNA from 1 species